GUAGGUGAACCUGCGGAAGGAUCAUUAACACGUAUCCACGUUCUUAUAAACUAAUCCGCUGCAUUGAACUCCCUAUCUAUUCUAAGUCAAAGCUGUUGAUCAUGGUGUUGUAUUGGGUCCGUACUCUUUCGAGAGGGGGGCAUGCAUUGUGAGACUGUCACUCCCAUUUCGGUGGAGAGUGUGGCUGAGGAGUUGAAUAGAAGGCUUUCCUCAUUCCUGUGGCCAACCUCUAUGGUCCAUGGAUAUGAUA
rnacentral:misc_RNA from 1 species